GCACAACGCGAAGAACCUUACCAAGGCUUGACAUCCCCUUGACCGGCACAGAGAUGUGCCCUCUCCUUCGGGAGCAAGGGUGACAGGUGGUGCAUGGUUGUCGUCAGCUCGUGUCGUGAGAUGUUGGGUUAAGUCCCGCAACGAGCGCAACCCUUAUCCUUAGUUGCCAGCAGGUUAAGCUGGGCACUCUAAGGAGACUGCCGAUGAUAAAUCGGAGGAAGGUGGGGAUGACGUCAAAUCAUCAUGCCCCUUAUGUCUUGGGCUACACACGUGCUACAAUGGUCGGUACAAAGGGCAGCGAAGGAGUGAUCUGGAGCGAAUCCCAAUAAACCGAUCUCAGUUCGGAUUGUAGGCUGCAACUCGCCUACAUGAAGUCGGAGUUGCUAGUAAUCGCGAAUCAGAACGUCGCGGUGAAUGCGUUCCCGGGUCUUGUACACACCG
rnacentral:rRNA from 1 species